rnacentral:rRNA from 1 species
AAGUAAUAGAAACUUUAUUUCAAACUAAUGUAAUUUGGCGGCAUUUUAUUUUAUUAGAGGAACCUGUUUAUUAAUCGAUAAUCCACGAUAAAUUUCACUUUUAUUAAAAUUUUAUAUACCACCAUAUCAAAACCAAUUUAAAAAUUCAUUUUAUAAUAUAUACAUAUUAAAAAAUAGGUAAAGGUGUAAACAAUAUAAAAGCUCAAAUGGGUUACACUAAAAAUUAUUUAAAGACAUAAAAAGAAAUCUUUAUUAAAUCAGGAUUUAUAAGUAAUAAAUAAAAUAAUAUUUAUUUAUGAAUAAAAACAAAAAUGUGC